AACACAUGCAAGUCGAGCGCCGUAUCAAUACGGAGCGGCAGACGGGAGAGUAACACGUGGGAACGUACCCUUUGGUUCGGAACAACCCAGGGAAACUUGGGCUAAUACCGGAUAAGCCCUUACGGGGAAAGAUUCAUCGCCGAAGGAUCGGCCCGCGUCUGAUUAGCUAGUUGGUGGGGUAAUGGCCCACCAAGGCGACGAUCAGUAGCUGGUCUGAGAGGAUGAUCAGCCUCACUGGGACUGAGACACGGCCCAGACUCCUACGGGAGGCAGCAGUGGGGAAUAUUGGACAAUGGGCGCAAGCCUGAUCCAGCCAUGCCGCGUGGGUGAUGAAGGCCCUAGGGUUGUAAAGCCCUUUCGGCGGGGAAGAUAAUGACGGUACCCGCAGAAGAAGCCCCGGCUAACUUCCGUGCCAGCAGCCGCGGUAAUACGAAGGGGGCUAGCGUUGCUCGGAAUCACUGGGCGUAAAGCGCACGUAGGCGGAUUGUUAAGUCAGGGGUGAAAUCCUGGAGCUCAACUCCAGAACUGCCUUUGAUA
rnacentral:rRNA from 1 species